rnacentral:lncRNA from 1 species
GAGAAGAAAAAGAUUUAGUAGUGCAAUCAACAAAAAAUAUCUCCCUCACUCUAUUGCAUCUAUUUGAACAUGCUGGACAGGAUGACCUGGGAGGUUAUAGCAAUCUUUCCUACAGCCUCACACGAAUAUAAACAGUAGAUGCCUGUGAAGGACUCUUGCACAUACACAUAUUCCCAAAGGCACUUAUUAUACCUGGUUGCAGCUGAAUACAGAUAUUGACAGAGACGUCUGAGAGGAGAAACCAAGAUCGUUUAUGACUAUGUCCUCAUUAGGAUCUCAAAUUUCACGGGCACCACAAGGCUACCCCAACUCAGAUUUAAUCAGCAGCAGACACCCAUCAGAAGGAAGGAAGGGCCAUCCCUGCCCCCUGGUAAGCCCUCCCAUUAAUGAAAUAUUCACCAAGAAAACAGGGCCAGGAUACAAACAAACAGUACUGGCCACGGCCUCACCGCGCUUCUAACCUCCUGUGAUCUUUGGCUUCUGUUCAGUAAUUGUAUUUAUUUUGAUUUCAUUAAAAAAUGUGAGAGAUG